GCCCCACCGGGGACAGGGCUGCCGCUCACCCGAGUCACUGGGGGUCAUUACUAAGCACAGCAAUGCUUAUUUACCGGACUGUGAAUGGUUGGUAAUUCUAACAGGGCUAUUUACUAAUGUCCGAAUGACCCGUACUAAGCGGGGCAACACCGCGCCAGAAUGUGGUCUGGAUUUGAGUCGGACUGAAUGGCGCUGGACAGCUGGAACCCGCACCGAAUGCAUCAAACCCAGCCAAGACUGAAAAAUAAAACUAACUUGAUCUCUUUGCCUGCUGGCAGUGCUAGCAACCAGUGAGCAAAUAGUUAAACCCCCCCUUGCUAUCCAGCC